CUGCUUCUUCACCGGGGUGGCUGCUUCUUCACCGGCGCGGCGACCUGCUUCUUCACCGGUGUGGCGGCCUACUUCUUCGACGACGCGGCGGCCUACCGGGCGGUCGGAUCCGCGGACGAACGGAUCUCCGGCGCCUGUCGGAUCUUCGGACGCGGCGCAGCGGCCUACCGGGCGGACGGAUCCACGGACGAACGGAUCUCCGGCGUCACGGCUUGCUUCUUCACCGGCGCCGCGACCUGA
rnacentral:misc_RNA from 1 species